GAACGCACAUUGCGCCCGCCCGUAUUCUGGCGGGCAUGCCUGUCCGAGCGUCAUUUCAACCCUCGUGCCCCCCUCUGCGGGCGGCCCGGCGUUGGGGCUCAGGCGCCGUCUCUGCUCGGCGCCUGUCCCCUAAAUGCAGUGGCGGCCUCGCCGCUGCCUCCUCCGCGUAGUAGCACAAACCUCGCGGCUGGAAGGCGGCGCGGCCACGCCGUAAAACCCCCCAACUUUACCAAGGUUGACCUCGGAUCAGGUAGGAAUACCCGCUGAACUUAAG
rnacentral:misc_RNA from 1 species